rnacentral:rRNA from 1 species
GACAGAGGGCGCAAGCGUUGCUCGGAAUAAUUGGGCAUAAAGAGUGGGUAGGUGGUUUAAUAGGUCUGAGGUGAAAGCCUUGAGCUUAACUCAAGAAGGGCUUCAGAAACGGUUAAACUCGAGUUCUCCAGAGGGUCGUGGAAUUCCCGGUGGAGCGGUGAAAUGCGUAGAGAUCGGGAGGAACACCAGAGGCGAAGGCGACGGCCUAGAGAGCAACUGACACUGAACUACGAAAGCGUGGGUAGCAACCAGG